rfam:Pteropus vampyrus cont1.243924, whole genome shotgun sequence.
CCCGCAUGGCUCAUAUCCAUGGCAAAUACAGAAAGUAAUGAGAACAGGAUCUUAAUAAACGUGCAGCCAGCCAACCGAAUCAUUAAAAAACAACCACAAAAUAAACAAAAACCUCACUCUUCAGGAACAAAAAUUAUAUUUUGCUGGAAAGGUUACAGUCCUUGAGUUGUUUUGAG